UAAACACACACCCAAAGCUAUGCCAGGAGUGAACGCAGCGUUUUCUCCCCUGCUCACCUCCCUCGUGCAUCAGACGGUGUUACACAAGCCUUGCAAUUGCCCCCUUCUGCCUUGGGUGACGCUGGGAGCCUGCAGAGUGAUGCCAUCGGCCUGGUCUGGGCUCUGCGGGCAGCAGACAGCGCGGGACUCAUCCGCACCCAUGCCUGGAGCCACGCAGCGAUGAGACUGGAUGGAGAGAGAAGCGAGGCUGAGGCUGUGCCCUACAAACCCUCGGAGCCCUGCUCCUGGAGUGCCUGGACACUAUUCCAGCUUGCCAGCCAUCUCCUCCUCAGAAGCUCGGUGGUGAGAUUACAGAGCAGUUAAAAUCCUUUUGUUGCCUGGAGAAGGAAGGGGGCAGGAACAGAGCAGCCAUGUGCUGCACAAAACCAGCUGCACCCUGUAUCCAGGCUGGAAACAGGUCGGUGCUGUGGGUUUUUUUUUGUUUGUUUUCCUGCUUUUUCCUUAGGGCCCGCUUUCCUGCAUGAGGAGGAGGUGGUGCACUCGUGUGCCCAGAUGGCGCUGGUGCCAGCCGUGGCGGGCAGCUCAGCAGCUCGGUGUGGUGACCUGCACCAGCGCCCACCAGUCUGACGGGAGGUGAGUGCUGGGCUGUGGGGAUGCUGCUGUGUGUCUCCAGGUGGGAAGCUGCCUCCGGAACUGCCCCGUGUCAGUGCUCAGCGCCCCUCCAUGUGUGCGGUGCAUGGAGUAGUGUGAAAAACACCCUCCUGGGCCUCUCCAGCCUCUGUAAACAC